rnacentral:tRNA from 2 species
AUUUAUAUAGUAUAAAAAUUACAUUUAACUUCCAAUUAAAAAAUUUAAAUUAUUUAAUAUAAAUA